CCGAGUUUACAACUCCCAAACCCCUGUGAACAUACCUUUAUGUUGCCUCGGCGGAUCAGCCCGCGCCCCGUAAAACGGGACGGCCCGCCGCAGGAAACCCUAAACUCUGUUGUUAGUGGAACUUCUGAGUAUAAAAAACAAAUAAAUCA
rnacentral:misc_RNA from 1 species